CAGUAGCCGCGGUACUACGGAGGGUGCAAGCGUUAAUCGGAAUUACUGAGCGUAAAGCGCACGCAGGCGGUUUGUUAAGUCGGAUGUGAAAUCCCCGAGCUUAACUUGGGAACUGCAUUUGAAACUGGCAAGCUAGAGUCUUGUAGAGGGGGGUAGAAUUCCAGGUGUAGCGGUGAAAUGCGUAGAGAUCUGGAGGAAUACCGGUGGCGAAGGCGGCCCCCUGGACAAAGACUGACGCUCAGGUGCGAAAGCGUGGGGAGCAAACAGGAUUAGAUACCCGUGUAGUCCCUGUCUCUUAUAC
rnacentral:rRNA from 1 species